ACUUUCUUAGUAUAACUAGUACAAGUGACUUCCAAUUACCCAGCCUUGGUUAAACUCCAAGAGAAAGUA
rnacentral:tRNA from 2 species